CACGCAGCCGCAAAAGGGACUGGCUGUGUCCUAGCACAGCACGCCUGCGCACUGUACCGCUGACGAUACAUUCCGCCCCAUCCCCCGGCUAAGUCUAAUGAGGAAGGCUAAGGGGUAAUAUAUCCCGCCUUAAUUCUCACAGCAACCCCCAAGGUUUGUUUGUUUGUUUGUUUGUUUUCCUUUUGAGAUUACAUAGGUCUCACUGUAUAGCCUUGGUUUGCCUGGAACUCACUUUGUAGCCCAGAUUGGCCUUGAACUCAUGGAGGGACACCUGCCUUUGCAUUGCCAGUGCUCACUGCCUCAGUGAACCCUGAAUGCUACCAGGGAAGAUGUGCCCACUGGAGCAAUAAUGGUGCGAAGGUUACAGAGGCAAACCCACAUUACUGAUUGACUCUGAGGCUGUUCGACGGAGGGAACUCAUGCCUGACAAUGGGGAGCCGGCCGCAUUUCUGAGCAGGGCUGGGCAGACCCUGUCGCACCAUUGUUUUCCUGAGAGGCCGGACCCUGCAGUGUUGCAUCUCAACCACGAGAUGGCGGCAUUUCAGCAAAUUUCAACCACUCCAGGUGAAGCCUUGUGCUGAUGGGCACCAUCUUCAACUAGAGCUGCGGAAACACCAAAUCUACCCGACCCAGGAUGCGAUCCAGCUUCAUCCUGCUGGCAGAACAAGCCUUCCUCAGUUUUGAGGGAGAAUCUGUUGAACCACAGAAAAGGAGAGGCCCGUGUUGCUAGACGCCCUAUGACCACUCGACCACUUUUCCGGGGUGGGGGCCACUCCUGUUUCACCUAUAAACAAGGGUUCCGCAUUAACUUGGGGCCACGUGGUGAGGGGCGAGCAGCGAGCCCUCGAGGUUUGCUGGGCCUUUGCAUGGUAUCCAGCUGCUGCCUUUAGGCUAUUGUGGUUGUCAGAAAAAAAUAAAAACCCAACUAAAACAACCCAGAUCACCAUAGUAUUAUUGAAGAAGUCACCUGGCCCAUUUCCACUCCUUUUUUUUAGAGGGACAGGAGCUUGAUCCUUUUCAAGAUCCUCCAAGUUAGAGAUCAGAACACUGGCUUCACUAGAUGCAAACAGGGUGGUGCUGACCGGCAUGCAAAGUCCUUGAGCGCUGGUGUUCUACUGAUCAUGAUGGAGAAAGACGCAAUCAAGUGACCUUCUGUGCUGCGCAGGGAUGUUUUGGUGUUGGGAUUAAAGAAAUGUGUCACCAUCACCAGCCUCAAGACUUUUGAAGUAAAGCAUAUUGCAAGGGCAAACCCAUGGCCAGCCUGUGGAGAUCGUGUUGCCUGCGUGGCCCUGGGACACUGGGUCUCAUAAUGUUGUGAUAUAGAUGAAAUGAAUGGCAACCCACAUUAACCGCAGGCUGAACAACCCCCCUGGAAUGUUUGCUGAAGAGCAAGGCAGUGGAGGCUGGCCCACAGAGGAGCCCUAUCGCCAGCCAUCAGCAAAGACCAGACCUGGUGGAGACUGGAGGACACGCCUGAUAACUCAGUGCCCUUGAGAGCUUUCUAGGUGCCUCCAGGCUGCUCCAGUCCUGUGUGUGUGUGUGUGUGUGUGUGUGUGUGUGUGUGUGUGUGUUGUGUGUGAGAAAGAGAGGGAUACAGUCCCUGGUAGGUAGCAGUACUCUUAAAAGCUCCUACCACAUCCAUGACCUUGGCACUAACAGGAAGCCAAGCCUUUGUGGACAGAUCCCAUGAACUUGAACAAGGAGUUUAUAUAUCAAAUGGCCUCAUAGAGCUGUAAGAGGAAGCCCAGAUGAAUCUUUCUUGAAUGGACAAAUGCUUUCAUGUAAGUAGGAGGUGGAUUAGGUUCUGGAACUGCCCUGUCCCUCUCCAUUUACCCCACUCUUCUCUCUUCUCCUCUGAUUUCUUUGUGGUGCUGGAGGUGGACCUCGGCACUUCACAUGUUAGACAAGUGAAGUGUACCACUAAACUGUAUCUCAGUCUCAGAUGGAAUUUUCUUAAGGAAGUCCAGGAAAUAUUUCAAAUAGGCAACAGAACCUAAGAUUUGUCCAUAUUGACAAUUCCCAACUCAGCGACCAACCAACAAAUUAACCAACCAGCAGCCAACCAGCAAAUCAAGCAACUAGUUGAACCACCAAGCAACCAGCCAACCAUCUAAGCCACCAACCAACCAACUAAUCAGCUGACCCAGAAACCAAAUAGACAACCAACUGUACAGUCAACCAACCAACCAAGUAAACAACUAAUGGGAUAACCAUCAUUCAACAACCAAUGAAUCAAUGGACUGAACAACUAAACCAACUGGUCAUCCAACCAAUUGACUAACCAACUGAACAAUCAAUCAUCUAACCAACAGAGCCACUAAUCAACCAACCAACCAACCAACCAACCAACCAACCAACCAACCAACUAACCUAGCAUGAAAACAACUAAGUAACCAAUAACCAAGAAGUAGAACCACUAAUUGAAAUAUUCACUGGGUUGGAAAGAAAUCCCCUCUUCCAGUGUUUCUGCCCUUUGUCUCCCCCGAGCUCCAGUAGCGUUGCCUGUUCCUCAGACACCUUCUGGGCCAUUCUACCACUGCCUGUUUCCAUUCCUCUAGAAAUUGCUGUGCAGGGCACCUCUGUCCCUUGCACCACUGGUCACAGGCUUCUCACCUGCAGCCAGUGCACAAACAACAUGGCUAGAAAGGCAUACAAUGAAGGGCCCAGUCCCCCCCAUCUGACUUUUGAGGAAUUGUGUGUGUGUGUGCGCUGUUGUUGUUGUUUUCUGGUCUCCCACUUCUCCAGGUGGAGAGUGCCUACCUGGGUCCAGACAGACAGAUUCCCUGACUUCUUUGCCCUGAGUUCCAUCCCUGCUACCACAUUACCCUGACAUGGUGGUACAGACUUGUAAUCCUAGGAUUUGGGAGGUGUAGACUAGGGGUUCAGGACCAUCCUUGACUACCUAUGGAGUUUGAGGCCAGCCUAGACUCUCUGAGAUCCUGUCUCAAACAAACAAACAAACAAACAAACAAACAAAACCAUACUGCAAACAAGCAACAACGCAAAGCCUGCCUGUAGUUUGCCGGGUAUCAGUAGCAGAAAGUCAAGUGUGCUUGGGUUGGGAGGGGGGAGGAGCUCCACUUAUCUUUGGUUUCCUUUAAUUAGUCUUCCCACUUGCCACCACAGGUCACAAUCCUUAGGAAGUGUCCCAGACACUGCCUGGACCGGCGGUGGUUCCCGGAAGUCACUGCUCCCAGGUCAGGUGCCUCUUUCUUCCCUCCCACCUGACCUGGGCUGCAAAGGAGCCUCCCUGGCUGUGCGCUGACUUCACCUUCCCCCAUGUUCUCGAUACUAAAUAAGUAUAUUAUGUACAAAAUAUUGCUAUCAUCUAGAAAAUAUCUCCCCAGGAAGGAUUAAACAGUGACACAUUAAAACCUUUUAAAAUGCAGGUAUGCAUCAGCGGGCCACAAAGACCCCGUGGGCAAACAAGUUAGUGGGGCUUCCAGUCAAUGCUGGCUCUGUCGAAGGACAGGGUACUGUACAUUUAGGGAUAUCCAAGAAUCCUGACUCUGGGACAGCUUGCAUGGUUGCUGUUGGAGGAAGGAAAGCACUGGAGGCAGUGAGGGUGUUCUGACAAUCUAAGUGGGUAGUUCAGACGGUAAAGGGUUUGUAUGGAAGAGGACCUGAUUUCAACCUCCAGAACCCACGUUUAAAAACAAAGUAGGCA